UACGUAGGGCGCAAGCGUUGUCCGGAAUUAUUGGGCGUAAAGAGCUCGUAGGCGGUCUGUCGCGUCUGCUGUGAAAUCUGGGGGCUCAACCCCCAGCCUGCAGUGGGUACGGGCAGACUAGAGUGCGGUAGGGGAGAUUGGAACUCCUGGUGUAGCGGUGGAAUGCGCAGAUAUCAGGAAGAACACCGAUGGCGAAGGCAGAUCUCUGGGCCGUAACUGACG
rnacentral:rRNA from 1 species